AUUGAACGCUGGCGGCAGGCCUAACACAUGCAAGUCGAACGGUAGCACAGAGAGCUUGCUCUCGGGUGACGAGUGGCGGACGGGUGAGUAAUGUCUGGGAAACUGCCCGAUGGAGGGGGAUAACUACUGGAAACGGUAGCUAAUACCGCAUAAUGUCGCAAGACCAAAGAGGGGGACCUUCGGGCCUCUUGCCAUCGGAUGUGCCCAGAUGGGAUUAGCUUGUAGGUGAGGUAACGGCUCACCUAGGCGACGAUCCCUAGCUGGUCUGAGAGGAUGACCAGCCACACUGGAACUGAGACACGGUCCAGACUCCUACGGGAGGCAGCAGUGGGGAAUAUUGCACAAUGGGCGCAAGCCUGAUGCAGCCAUGCCGCGUGUAUGAAGAAGGCCUUCGGGUUGUAAAGUACUUUCAGCGGGGAGGAAGGGAGUGAGGUUAAUAACCUUAUUCAUUGACGUUACCCGCAGAAGAAGCACCGGCUAACUCCGUGCCAUCAGCCGCGGUAAUACAGAGGGUGCAAGCGUUAAUCGGAAUUACUGGGCGUAAGCGCACGCAGGCGGUCUGUCAAGUCGGAUGUGAAAUCCCCGGGCUCAACCUGGGAACUGCAUUCGAAACUGGCAGGCUGGAGUCUUGUAGAGGGGGGUAGAAUUCCAGGUGUAGCGGUGAAAUGCGUAGAGAUCUGGAGGAAUACCGGUGGCGAAGGCGGCCCCCUGGACAAAGACUGACGCUCAGGUGCGAAAGCGUGGGGAGCAAACAGGAUUAGAUACCCUGGUAGUCCACGCUGUAAACGAUGUCGACUUGGAGGUUGUUCCCUUGAGGAGUGGCUUCCGGAGCUAACGCGUUAAGUCGACCGCCUGGGGAGUACGGCCGCAAGGUUAAAACUCAAAUGAAUUGACGGGGGCCCGCACAAGCGGUGGAGCAUGUGGUUUAAUUCGAUGCAACGCGAAGAACCUUACCUACUCUUGACAUCCAGAGAACUUAGCAGAGAUGCUUUGGUGCCUUCGGGAACUCUGAGACAGGUGCUGCAUGGCUGUCGUCAGCUCGUGUUGUGAAAUGUUGGGUUAAGUCCCGCAACGAGCGCAACCCUUAUCCUUUGUUGCCAGCGGUCCGGCCGGGAACUCAAAGGAGACUGCCAGUGAUAAACUGGAGGAAGGUGGGGAUGACGUCAAGUCAUCAUGGCCCUUACGAGUAGGGCUACACACGUGCUACAAUGGCAUAUACAAAGAGAAGCGACCUCGCGAGAGCAAGCGGACCUCAUAAAGUAUGUCGUAGUCCGGAUUGGAGUCUGCAACUCGACUCCAUGAAGUCGGAAUCGCUAGUAAUCGUGGAUCAGAAUGCCACGGUGAAUACGUUCCCGGGCCU
rnacentral:rRNA from 1 species